AAUGGGGGAUAACGUAGCGAAAGUUACGCUAAUACCGCAUAUGCCCUGAGGGGGAAAGUGGGGGAUCGCAAGACCUCACGUUUUCGGAGCGGCCGAUAUCAGAUUAGCUAGUUGGUGGGGUAAAGGCCUACCAAGGCGACGAUCUGUAGCUGGUCUGAGAGGACGACCAGCCACACUGGGACUGAGACACGGCCCAGACUCCUACGGGAGGCAGCAGUGGGGAAUUUUGGACAAUGGGGGCAACCCUGAUCCAGCCAUGCCGCGUGAGUGAAGAAGGCCUUCGGGUUGUAAAGCUCUUUCGGACAGAAAGAAAUCGCACAGGAUAAUACCUUGUGUGGAUGACGGUACUGUAAGAAGAAGCACCGGCUAACUACGUGCCAGCAGCCGCGGUAAUACGUAGGGUGCGAGCGUUAAUCGGAAUUACUGGGCGUAAAGCGUGCGCAGGCGGUUUAUUAAGACAGAUGUGAAAUCCCCGGGCUUAACCUGGGAACUGCAUUUGUGACUGGUAGGCUAGAGUGUAGCAGAGGGGGGUAGAAUUCCA
rnacentral:rRNA from 1 species